GGGCGGCGGUGGCGCCGGCGGCGGGACAGCUCGCUUCCCCACCCCAGCCUGGGCACUCCUGUUCGACUGAGACCAGGAUUAUUCCCACCUCCCAAGAGCAGAGAGGGCUCAGAUGCACAGCCUCUGCCUUCGUGGAGUGGGCAUUUUCAGGGCUCACACAGUCGACAAAAGAAAACGUUUUUCUUGGGAGAUGGGCAGAAGCUGAAGGACUGGCAUGACAAGGAGGCCAUCCAGAGGGACGCUCAGCGCGUAGGAAAUGGAGAACAAGGAAGACCUUACCCCAUGACCGAUGCUGAGAGAGUGGAUCAGGCAUACCGAGAAAAUGGAUUUAACAUCUACGUCAGUGAUAAAAUCUCCUUGAAUCGCUCUCUCCCAGAUAUCCGGCACCCAAACUGCAACAGCAAGCGCUACCUGGAGACACUUCCCAACACAAGCAUCAUCAUCCCCUUCCACAACGAGGGCUGGUCCUCCCUCCUCCGCACCGUCCACAGUGUGCUCAACCGCUCGCCUCCAGAGCUGGUCGCCGAGAUUGUGCUGGUCGACGACUUCAGUGAUCGAGAGCACCUGAAGAAGCCUCUUGAAGACUACAUGGCCCUUUUCCCCAGUGUGAGGAUUCUUCGAACCAAGAAACGGGAAGGGCUGAUAAGGACCCGAAUGCUGGGGGCCUCAGUGGCAACUGGGGAUGUCAUCACAUUCUUGGAUU
rnacentral:sRNA from 1 species